rnacentral:rRNA from 1 species
CACGUAGGGUGCAAGCGUUGUCCGGAAUUAUUGGGCGUAAAGAGCUCGUAGGCGGUUUGUCGCGUCUGCUGUGAAAACCCGAGGCUCAACCUCGGGCCUGCGGUGGGUACGGGCAGACUAGAGUGAUGUAGGGGAGACUGGAAUUCCUGGUGUAGCGGUGAAAUGCGUAGAGAUCGGGGAGGAACACCAGUGGCGAAGGCGGGUCUCUGGGCCGAUAUUGACGCUGAGGAGCGAAAGCGU